UGUGGAUCUCCAUAGACAGGAAGACAUGAAUAAAUUAUAUUAUUCAGGAUAGUGCAAUGAUCUGGAGAGGUACUGCACCUUACACACAUCUACAAGAGAGCAUACAGAAAAAGAGGAAUUACACAGCUGACAGUAAUGGACUAUACAUGCCUAAAGAUGUCUUUCUAACUUCUGGCCGCUCACCCAUACAGUUCCCCUGUCUUCAGGAUUUUGGCAGUGUGAAGAUAAGCCCCAGAGCCCAUUUGCUUUGCAGAUAGCCAAGCCAAAUUAUUGUUGACCUGCAGGAGCCAACCGGUGGAUAAGAAUAAUCUGAAUAAGAGCAGGACACAAAGCUGAGAUUAAAGUUUGGGUUAAAGCUACAAUGACUACAAGAACUGUUGUCCUUUUAAAACAAAAGGAAGAAUGAUGAAAACUGCUAUAACCUGAGGGUUGCAUUGGCACAUCCCAGGGAGCUGAAACUACCAGCAAUGGAUCACCAUGUGCCGGAAAUAUCCUGCAAUUUCAACUGACAACACCACAAAUCUGAGUGUGUAAACCAGAGGGUGUGGUUGUAUCUCUGCCACUGCAUUGCACACUGACAUUACAAAAAAAAUACCUCACACUGGCAGCUGUGUGAAUUCACCAGAACAGAACUGACAGAAGCACCGUACACUGUUCAGUUCUCGAGCACUGCUAAGCUGUGAAAAGUACAGCACAAAUAUCAUGGGCUCUUAUUAAAGUGGUUUCAUUUAAUAGAUGUUUCAUUUAACAGUUAUCACACUUUCUAUUUCUAUACAGUAAAAAUGACUUUUGGAUAAAUCAGCGGUGGGUUAGAAUUGUAAUCAUACAUGUAAGACUAUGAGAAGACUAUGUAAGACUAUGGCUGAUUGCUUAGGGUCAAGCUCAGUAGGCAGCAUAUGCUCAUUUGGCUCUGAGACACACACACACACACACACACACACAUACAUACAAACACCUAGAAUGAAAAAGACAAAACAGUUUUAAGUGUUUUAAUUUACAGUAUGGUUUUAAACUGACACAUUUUAAAAAUGGAGAACAUUGAGCUAAUCCACUGAUUCCUCCUGCAAGCCCUGUUAUAUACUUAUUUUAUGAGAUUUAAUUUAAAUUUUUAGAGAUACUAUGUUUCCAUAGAAACAGUGAGACAAGGCAGAUAACAGAGAAAACUUCAAGCAGCAAUGAAAACAAAAAUGAUAUUGGUAACAAGUAAUUAAACUGUUUAUCAUUAUGUUUAAUCGAUUCUUUUUCUUACUUGAGUCUUACUUGCUAGUUGCCCUAGAGGUCAGUGGUUCUCUCAGCGUGGGGUCUGUGAAGCACAACCACGGGUCUGUGAUUUUUUUUUUUUUUUUUUUUUUUUUUACAAUGAUGGAAAUCACAACCUACCAUUAGCAAAGAUAUAUAUUUAUUAUUGAGUUCUUGAGAGGGAUCUAUUAAAUUUGUUUUACUGGUAGAGUGGAUAUAAAAAAAGUACACCCCUGAUAAAAUUGCAGGUAAAAAAUGAUGUAAAAAUGAAACCAAUAUAAAGAGAUCUUUUUCUACCCUUAAUGUAAUAUAGCAACCAACACACACCUCUUUAAUACUUUGUUAAAGCACCUUUUGCUUGUAAUACAGCACUCAGUCUUUUUGGGUAAGGGUCUACCAACUUAGCACAUCUUGAUUUGGCAAUUUUAUUCCACUCUUCCUUGCAAAAAUGCUCCAGGUCUAACAAAUUGUGAGGUGUGAUCUCCUGUGCACAGCCCUCUUCAAGUCAUUCUACAGGUUUACAUUAGGAUUUAGAUCUGUGCUCUGACUGGGCCAUUCCAAAACACUGAUCUUCUUCUUCUGAUGCCAUUCUGUUGUUGACUUGGAUUUGUGCUUUGGGUCGUUAUCGUGCUGGAAUGUGACAUUUUUCUUCAUCUUCAGCUGUCUAACAGAGGCCUGCAGGUUUUGUGCCAAAAUAGAUUGGUAUGUGGAGCUAUCCAUACCAGCAUGCCGUGCUUUGGUUUAAUCCAACCUCAAUAACUCAAAAAAUAAGCAGGCCUAUAAAUAAUGUCUACAGGAAUCUAAAAAAUGUGUUCUGUGAACGGAAUGCUCAGGAAUAAAAAGCUCUAUGGCUUCAAUAAAUAUACAAAAUAUUAUGGCACACAUUUAAAUAAUGUUCCUGAUAUUUGUUUAGAUGGAUUACAGUAUGUUUAUAAAAUAAAAUGUACUGUGGGGGUCAGAGAAUUUUUUUUGGAGUUAGAGGGGAUUUAGAGGGUCAGAAUAAAAAAAAGACUACAGUCGUGUUUUAUCUACAUGGUGUCCCAAAAGUUUCCAUACAUAGCGGAAAUUAACACAAAACAUCCUCUACAUGAUUGUCAUUUCUUUGUAAACACACACACAGAGUUGUGGUUUCCAGUUUGGCAACAGUGUCGUGUGUGAUGUGCUUGCCAUGUUUCCUGUUAAAGUCCAUCACAACCUUGCGACAGCUUCCCAAUCCAGCCAUGAGAAUGAUUUCAAUACAUUCUUCUUUUGGCAAAGGCAUUCUUAAAGGCUAUCUGAAAAAAUGUAUAAUAUAAACUAAGUAUGAAAAACUUGAAGACAUAUUGAUUAAAAAAAGUGUUAAUUUCCCCUGUGUAUGGAGACUUUUGGGACACCCUGUAUAUAAGUCAUGUGUUAUAUGCUCAAUUGUCUAUUCUUACAGUAUAUCUAACACACCACUUUAAAAUCACAAGAUAAACACAUACCAAAGCAAACAUUUUUUCUCACUGAGAUUGUGCAUAGACCCAUAGAUCUCAUGUUACAUGUUUGUUUGUUUGUUUUUAAUGCCACAGUGUUGUUUUGUUUGUUAACUUCAAGAUAACAAGUCAUUGUAACAAAUAAUUGUGUACAGUUAAUGACCUGAUGGGAAGAUACUUCUCAUACUGUAUGCUGAUUAUAAACCCGUAAAUAUACAUUUUUUUAUAAUAUUAUUAUAUAAAAUUAUUAUAAUAAAAUUAUUAUAAUAUUAUUAUAUAAUUAUAAUAUUAUUUUAAAAUAUUAAAUAUUACAAGAAGGAAGAAUGGAAGAGGUUAAAGUUAGAAUAUUAAUUAAAAGAAUAUUAUAACAAAUCAGAAUAGGCUUUCUAACAUGCCAAAAUAUUUUAACAGCAAUCAUAAUGUCAUUUCAGAAUUCGUACAGAGUAUGUGUGAACUGCAUUGGCAACACUGUGAGAACUUGAGUGAGUAAAAAGCUGGAGCAGAAGUAGAUGUACAACUACAACAUACUGCUGGUUAUAAGUUUGCAUAUGCAAACACGUGUGCUAAUGUGAUUUUGACAUUAUGGUUGUACCAUGAAAGUACCAAGUCUAAUUUGUAUGUACUACUCUUAUUAAAUUACUGUGUAAUAGGUUCUGCGCACAGUAAGCUCAUAUGCUUUUGUCAAAGGUAGAGAAAAUAUCCUGUUACACAAGUUAAGAAGUUAAGACCAUGGUCAACAAGCUGGCUGAGGUACUGUAGGUAAUGUUGCUGACUUUGCAAGGUACAUGAAUAGGUCUUGGUUGUGAAAAAUCACAUUUUUUGUAUUUUUGUCUUGUGUUCACUGUAUGCUGUUUACUAGCCAGUAGACACUGGUAUCUGGAAUUGCCAAAAGAUUCCAAUUAUUAUGGUUGUAGCUAUUA